UACGAAGGGGGCUAGCGUUGCUCGGAAUUACUGGGCGUAAAGGGCGCGUAGGCGGCCGAUCAAGUCAGGCGUGAAAUUCCCGGGCUCAACCUGGGGGCUGCGCUUGAGACUGGUUGCUAGAGGCCGAGAGAGGGUGGUGGAAUUCCGAGUGUAGAGGUGAAAUUCGUAGAUAUUCGGAAGAACACCAGUGGCGAAGGCGGCUCACUGGACCGGUAUUGACGCUGAGGUGCGAAAGCGUGGGGAGCAAACAGG
rnacentral:rRNA from 1 species